CCCCUCCUCGCCCCCACUGACGAUCUUCCAGUCAUCCAUCUGGACUGCGGACACCCCCAGCUGAUGGGCGGACAGUGACAGGGCGAUUUUAUCACUGCGGAGGUCAUGGAGCCUCACUCUGGAAGAUGCGAGGAGAGGGGUUAGUGAGGAAGCCUGCAUCCCCAGCCCGGCUUCAGCUAUGUGGUCCCUGCAGCAUCCCAUGGGACUCAACAUCUGCAGUAGGAUCGACACUUGGUCUUCUGAUCAGACAAACCCCAUGAAAGCCCUGGCAAGGCAAAGGUCUGAAGGCUCAACGUGAGCAGCUGCCUGCUCAUGUGUGGUCUCAAGUGCACACGAGACAAUCACAGAUCAGACCUGCUGCACGCACAGAGGACGAAGAUGGAUAUUGCAGUUCUGUGCCAGAGAAGUUGGACUUCAGAGCUAAUUUUACUAUUUUGUCAACCUGCCCAGGAGAACCAAAGCCACGGGGCCCUAACUUCCUUUUUACAGAUGGUGCUUCAUGGACUUUAGACUUCUGCUUCUCUGUUCUCUAUCACCUCCCCAGCUUUUCUGUUUGAGUCCAUUUUUUAAGCUACGGAAUUGAAAAUUUAGACGAGUGAGUGACUUUCUAGGAAAGAAGAGAAAAACCAGAUCAAAGCCGUGAUAGAGAGCAACAGGCAGGGCUGGCCAGCCGUGCGAGGGGCCGCUGCCUACGGGCUCUGAAUACAGAAGCCAGGAAGGGAUGUUGUUAGCACAGCUGACAUCAGGCAGACAACCUCGAGCCCCACAGGAAGCCCCUGGAGACUAGCGGAGCUACCAUGUCCCGCCCACAGAAGAAAACCCAGUCAGCUCUACGAGGGCUGAACACCCCCCCCACCCCCGCUCCAACAGGACGCCUCCAAACAGCCAGGCAUGAUCACACCGCUCCUGCCUGCCCAGUGUUAGAAACGAUAAAUGCCAUGAAGAUCAGGAAUGACACUGCGACAGCAAUUUAUCCAUGUGAAUAUGCCCAACUCAACAACUACAUUGAACAGUUGUCUGUCUAUGUAGUGCCUGCAGCUGGCAGAGGAGGCCAUCAGAUCCUCUGGAGCUGGAGUUACAGCUGCUAGUUACCAUGUGGGUGCUGGGAAUUGAACCCAGGUCCUCUGGGACAACAGCCUAUGCUCUUAACUGUUAAGCCAUCUCUCCAGCCCAAACAGCUACAUUUUGUAUACCACCCACUAAUUGUAAGAAACAGUCAAGGAGCUGGAGAUAUGGCUCCACAGUUAAAAGCAUGGCUUGCUCUUGGAGAGUUUGGUUCCUAGCACCCACAUCUGGUGGACCACAAACAGCUGUAACUCCAGCUCCUGGGCCCCAGUGUCCUCUUCUGGACUCUGUGGGCACCAUAUGAUCUUACAUGGAUUUCAGUUUUAGGAUAGCAGUUAAUAUCAGUAUACUGUGUUUUCUCAACUCAGAGCUGAGUUAUAUAUAAUACCAGCUACCCGAGAGGCUGAGGCAGGAGGAUUGCAAGUUCCAGGCCACCCUGAACAGCUUAGUGAUAUUCUGUGUUGAAUAAAAACGUGGACUGUA